UACGGGGGGGGCAAGCGUUGUUCGGAAUUACUGGGCGUAAAGGGCUCGUAGGCGGCCAACUAAGUCCGACGUGAAAUCCCCAGGCUUAACCUGGGAACUGCGUCGGAUACUGGAUGGCUUGAAUCCGGGAGAGGGAUGCGGAAUUCCAGGUGUAGCGGUGAAAUGCGUAGAUAUCUGGAGGAACACCGGUGGCGAAGGCGGCAUCCUGGAUCGGCAUUGACGCUGAGGAGCGAAAGCCAGGGGAGCAAACGGG
rnacentral:rRNA from 1 species